UCGAAUUCUCAGGGCAGGGUGCAAUUCCCUACCGGCGGUGAUCCCUUAGGGGCAGCCCGCGAGCGCCCGGCCUGGCCGGGGACAGCAGAUCCGGUGUGACUCCGGAGCCGACGGUGACAGUCCGGAUGAAAGAGAACGCGG
rnacentral:ncRNA from 1 species